rnacentral:rRNA from 1 species
UGCAGUCGAACGAUGAACCACUUCGGUGGGGAUUAGUGGCGAACGGGUGAGUAACACGUGGGCAAUCUGCCCUUCACUCUGGGACAAGCCCUGGAAACGGGGUCUAAUACCGGAUAUGAGCCUGGGAGGCAUCUCCUGGGUUGUAAAGCUCCGGCGGUGAAGGAUGAGCCCGCGGCCUAUCACCUUGUUGGUGAGGUAAUGGCUCACCAAGGCGACCACGGGUAGCCGGCCUGAGAGGGCGACCGGCCACACUGGGACUGAGACACGGCCCACACUCCUACGGGAGGCAGCAGUGGGGAAUAUUGCACAAUGGGCGAAAGCCUGAUGCACCGACGCCGCGUGAGGGAUGACGGCCUUCGGGUUGUAAACCUCUUUCAGCAGGGAAGAAGCGAAAGUGACGGUACCUGCAGAAGAAGCGCCGGCUAACUACGUGCCAGCAGCCGCGGUAAUACGUAGGGCGCAAGCGUUGUCCGGAAUUAUUGGGCGUAAAGAGCUCGUAGGCGGCUUGUCACGUCGAUUGUGAAAGCCCGAGGCUUAACCUCGGGUCUGCAGUCGAUACGGGCUAGCUAGAGUGUGGUAGGGGAGAUCGGAAUUCCUGGUGUAGCGGUGAAAUGCGCAGAUAUCACGAGGAACACCGGUGGCGAAGGCGGAUCUCUGGGCCAUUACUGACGCUGAGGAGCGAAAGCGUGGGGAGCGAACAGGAUUAGAUACCCUGGUAGUCCACGCCGUAAACGGUGGGAACUAGGUGUUGGCGACAUUCCACGUCGUCGGUGCCGCA